UAAGGAAGCGAAGGAUAUGAGAGCAGGAAUGCUAAGAGAAGUAUCCAGAGCAAGCGGAACGACACUGAGAAACUUUGUUUAGUUUUGAGGGUAGUACCUCAAAAAGCUAGUACAUGAAACUGAAUAUACCAAGGUCUAAAAACCGAGACAAUCAAAGAGAACAGAUGUAGAGCCGACGAGAAGAGAUUCUUGAGUUAAGGUCAAG
rnacentral:misc_RNA from 1 species